rnacentral:misc_RNA from 1 species
UUUCCGUAGGUGAACCUGCGGAAGGAUCAUUGCCGGGUUCAGGGGGGGAAACCCCCCAACUCCCAACCCUUGCUUACCUACCACGUUGCUUCGGGGGGCCGUCUCGAUGGCCCCCCGGAGGUCAAUCAAACUAUUCUUCUACAGUCGUCAGAGCGAAUGCGAAAAUAAGUAAAAACUUUCGACAACGGAUCUCUUGGUUCUG